UGCUGAUUGAAGCUGCUGCCGCCCUGUCUGACGUAGUUUUUGCUUGCUCAUCUGAGUAGUCAGACUGCUGCCUGCAGUUUGAGCAGUCCGUGCAUGCCCAUGAGCUGGCAAUGUGUGAGGUUGAGGCAUUGGGGUCAUUGAGGUGGGGGAUGUCAAAGGAGAAACUGAUACUGGCAGAGAAGAUUGUGAUGUGGUCUUCGGACUGUUUUGUAAAGAAGAUGAAAUAGGUAGUUGGGGCUGUGAAUGGGAAAAUUGUUGCUGUUGCAACCGUCGCUGUUGCAGGUGCCUCUCUUUAGCUAAUCGAAUUGCAUAAGCUUGUUGCUGAGAGUUGGUGGCAUGAUUAGCCCCUUGAAGAUGAGGGUGAUGAGGGCUAAGCAUAAGUGGCUGCUGUGAAGACAUGGGAUGUGAUUGCUGAUGAUGAAGUGGAUAUGGAUUAACGGGAGAGGCAGACUGGUUGGGAAAAG
rnacentral:misc_RNA from 1 species